rnacentral:rRNA from 1 species
AUUUGUGGUCAAACCAGCCUGUCAUUUCCGAUCUCAUUAGAUCUCAGAAGCUAAACAGGUCUGGGCCUGGUUAGUAGUUGGAUGGGAGACCACUGAGAAUUCCAGGUGCCACAGUGG